rnacentral:rRNA from 1 species
AGAAUCAACGCUGGCGGCGUGCCUAACACAUGCAAGUCGAACGAGAAAGUGGAGCAAUCCAUGAGUACAGUGGCGACCGGGUGAGUAACACGUGACUACCUACCCUUGAGUGGGGGAUAACCUCGGGGAAACCGAGGCUAAUACCGCAUAAUAUCGAGAGAUCAAAGGAGUAAUCCGCUUUUGGAGGGGGUCGUCGGCUGAUUAGCUAGUUGGUAGGGUAAUGGCCUACAAAGGCGAAGAUCGGUA